UUCACAAUGAAGUACUCACAGCUUUCCAGUUCAACAUCAGAAGGUUUCGGUGCACAGAUUUAUUUGGCAGUUGUUUGGCAUUUCGGGCAAGUACUCCAAACAUUGUUUAAGACUUUUAAAUUAUUUGAGUGACGUUUAACGGUGACUGGUGGCAUAAUUGCCGACAUUUUACAUGAAGAUACCACACGGCUUGACAAUCCACUAGAUAAAUAUGUAGCUGUGGUUGAAAUUGGCACAUUAUUUGUUUGCUUGUGGACAAUAUGUAUUUGUUUUAUUGUGGAAAGGUCUUCUGUUCUACUAUUAGCACAUUAUUGUACACAGGUUGAUCGCAUUUUGAAUCUACAAGACGCAGCACAGGCAAGAACUCACACAAAACGUUUCCUGAUAAUACUUACGGCCGUAACAUUGAUUCUUCUUAUUUAUACUCAUUACAUCUGGAUAUUUGUAACAGAAAACCCUCUUUAUACGGUAUUUUUUUCUGCUGGGUAUUACUUAUCGCAUAUUGUUGUUCUGGGAGUUAUUUCACUUUACUGGGUCAUAUGCGAUGGCAUCUCACGUCGUAUUUCUGAUCUACAAAAAGAAUUAACUUUUAGUGACAUCACAACAAAAGACAAAAAGGUUAAACAAUUAAAUAGCAAACACGCAACGAAUAUGAAUUUUGUUUAUCGCAACCUGUUCUCUGGUUUAACAUCUUUCAGCAGUGCAUAUGGACCCAUAAUAUUUGCUGUAAUGAUGAACAUUUUGAUCUCACUAAUCGCAAGUUUAUACGUGAUUAUUAAUCAAGCAACUCAUCAGCAAGUAGCAACACGUCGCAUAAUGGAGAUGAUGUGGGGCACUUUUCAUUUAAGCCGGUUGAUUUUAAUUGUUGAACCAGCACACCGUUUGAAUGAUGGAAUGGGUUGUGUACGAGCCCUAAUUGCAAAGUUGUUAUCGUACAAUGUUAAUGAAGAAACUAAAACACAAGUUGAAAUAUUUACAAUGCAAGUAUUACUUUCACCGCAAGGUUCUUUCAGUCCAUUUGGUAUGCUCACUGUUAACAGAAGUGUUAUCAUAACCGUCGUG